CACAUGCAAGUCGUACGAGAAAAAUCCGCUUCGGCGGGUGAGUAGAGUGGCGCACGGGUGAGUAACGCGUGAUAAUCUGCCUUUAAGCUGGGAAUAACUCACCGAAAGGUGGGCUAAUACCCAAUAAAGCUAUGCUGCUUCGGCCGUAUAGCCAAAGAGAGCCUCUACAUGUAAGCCCUCACUUAAAGAUGAGUCCGCGUACCAUUAGCUAGUUGGCAGGGUAAUGGCCUACCAAGGCGACGAUGGUUAGCUGGUCUGAGAGGAUGAUCAGCCACACUGGAACUGAGACACGGUCCAGACUCCUACGGGAGGCAGCAGUGAGGAAUAUUGCGCAAUGGGGGAAACCCUGACGCAGCAACGCCGCGUGAGUGAGGAAGGUUUUCGGAUCGUAAAGCUCUGUCGGGUGGGAAGAAAUGUAUGGAGGUUAAUAGCCUUUGUACUUGACGGUACCGCCAAAGGAAGCACCGGCUAACUCCGUGCCAGCAGCCGCGGUAA
rnacentral:rRNA from 1 species